GACGAACGCUGGCGGCGUGCUUAACACAUGCAAGUCGAACGGGCCUUGUCCCCUUUUUUUUUGGGGGUGGGGUUAGUGGCGAACGGGUGAGUAACACGUGAGUAACCUGCCCCUCCCUUCUGGAUAACCGCUUGAAAGGGUGGCUAAUACGGGGUGUUCUGGCCUGCUCGCAUGGGUGGGUUUGGAAAGAUUCGACCGGUUUUGGUUGUGUUGGUGGGGGAUGGGCUCGCGGCCUAUCAGCUUGUUGGUGGGGUGGUGGCCUGCCAAGGCUUUGACGGGUAGCCGGCCUGAGAGGGUGGGCGGUCACACUGGGACUGAGACACGGCCCAGACUCCUACGGGAGGCAGCAGUGGGGAAUAUUGCACAAUGGGCGCAAGCCUGAUGCAGCGACGCCGCGUGAGAGAUGGAGGCCUUCGGGUUGUGAACCUCUUUCGCCAGUGAAGAAGGUCCUGCUCUUUGUGGUGGGGUUGACGGUAGCUGGGUUAAUGAAGCGCCGGCUAACUACGUG
rnacentral:rRNA from 1 species